GUACACUCCUACGGGAGGCAGCAGUGGGGAAUUUUGGACAAUGGGCGAAAGCCUGAUCCAGCAAUGCCGCGUGCAGGAUGAAGGCCUUCGGGUUGUAAACUGCUUUUGUACGGAACGAAAAAGCUCCUUCUAAUACAGGGGGCCCAUGACGGUACCGUAAGAAUAAGCACCGGCUAACUACGUGCCAGCAGCCGCGGUAAUACGUAGGGUGCGAGCGUUAAUCGGAAUUACUGGGCGUAAAGCGUGCGCAGGCGGUUAUGUAAGACAGAUGUGAAAUCCCCGGGCUCAACCUGGGAACUGCAUUUGUGGCUGCAUGGCUAGAGUACGGUAGAGGGGGAUGGAAUUCCGCGUGUAGCAGUGAAAUGCGUAGAUAUGCGGAGGAACACCGAUGGCGAAGGCAAUCCCCUGGACCUGUACUGACGCUCAUGCACGAAAGCGUGGGGAGCAAACAGGAUUAGAUACCCCGGUAGUCCCAUGAU
rnacentral:rRNA from 1 species